rnacentral:lncRNA from 1 species
GACAGAUCCUCCUCUGCUACACCCUCCUGCCCACCCCAGGAAGCUCUGGCCCCUCCCCACCUCCUCUCUGUGGCUCCAGUCCCUUCCUUGGGUUGGAGGAAGAAAGAGGAGCUGGCUUUAUUAUAACUCAGAAACUCAGGCCCCCAGAGCUGAACCAGAACUCAGAAACCAGAAACCCCUGCUUUUGCAACUAGAGGCACAGAGCAGGAAGGGGUUUAACAGGGUCACACAGGAAGCAAGCAGCUGAGAUAGGACACAAAGUUCUGUCUUUCAGUGGAAGUUGGAGUCGAUGUGUUGCCUUAAGGGGUUGACAUAAAAUCACAGAGCUGCCCCCUUCUAAGCACUUGGUCUUGUAUGAAUCCUUACCCACCCCAUCCCCAUUUUACAGGUAAACAAACUGAGGCCCCAAGAAGUUACGCUUAAUACAAGUGUUUUUAUAACUUUUCAGAAAAUACCUGUUGAAUGGAUGGAUCUCAAAGAGCACAGACCACUUCUGUCCCUCUUCAACCCCGCCCCCCGACCAGGAACUGAGACCUAUGUCUUCAGUCAGAGGACUUCUUGGAAGAGGGGAGUGAGGGCAAUUUGGGGACAUGUAGGUUAGAGGAAGAAGAGGAGGGAUUCCCGGAAGAGAUAAGAGAGGGAAGGAAUUCCAAAGCACUGACCCUCCCCACCCCCAUCUGCUCCUAGCUUGGGUCAGCAGCUGUGUAUUCAGAAGCAUCAAUGUGAACAAUGCAGGUCCCUGCCCAGUCCUCCGCCUGGGAUGGAUUGGAAAAUGGAAGAAGCAAGGCAUCUUCUGAGUACGUCUCCGCGCACGUGCGGAAUGCAGGUCUGCAAGGACAGCUGCCUGGAGAGGCAGCUCCACCGAGGAUAAAAGGCUUUUUAAAAAAACAAAGGAAAGCGCCUGGUCGCUGUCCAAGCCAUUUAAUUCCUCACACAAGCCUACGAGGCAGCUACUGUUAUUAUUCCCAUUCUACAGAGGAGGAAACUGAGGCCCACAAGAGGUUAUUUGCUCAAGGUCACCCAGAUAGCAAAGAGCCAAACCGGAUGUGGACCCAGCAGCCUGGUUCCGGAGCCUGAAAUGUCUGUCGUUUCUGCUUGCUGUUAACCCCAUGGGAUCACAGAGCACAGCUGUCUUGUUCACAGAUUCGUCUCCUGCAUCCUUCACAAAGCUGAGUAAAUGUUGAAUGAAUGAAUGAAU